rnacentral:rRNA from 1 species
CGGUCUUAGGCCGCUGAGAACUGUAGCGUAUAGGUGUGACUGUCCUGCUAUAUUGCAUUUCCGAAGUCUCUUUGAUAGGGGCCAACAUCCAGAGAGGGUGCGAGACCUGUACGGAAAGUAGUAUAGUUGGUAUGGUUACUCCUUGGAGUCGGGUUGCUUGAAAGUGCAGCCUAAAGUUGGUGAUAAACUUCAUCUAAGGCUAAAUAUCGACGCGAAAUCGAUAGCAAACAAGUACCGUGAGGGAAAGUUGCAAAGAACUUUGAAGAGAGAGUUCAAGAGAACGUGAAAUCGCUGAAGUGGAACCGGAGAGAGUUAACAUAACUUGGUAGCUAUAUCCUCUAAAGUCGCUUAACUGUGGCUCUGGGGGGUGGACGCUACCUGUUGUUGCACUGACUGCGUUGAUUGUGCUUUCCGAACAGUAUAGUGUUGCCCACUUUGUGGUGUCUUGCUUUCUGGGAGGUUUGUCAUAAUUAACGUAAAGCCAAUUCCCUUUGGAGUCAGUGUGAAAGUUAACCACCUUUCCGACCCGUCUUGAAACACGGACCGAGGAGUGUAAUUUAUACGCGAGUCAAGGGGUGGUGAAAACCCUAGGGGCGGAAUGAAAGUAAAGGCCGGUUAACCGGUUGACAUGGGAUCCGCUCUUCGGAGCGGCGCACCAUGGCCCUGUCUUGUCUGCUUGCAGAUGGGCAGCGGUAGAGCGUAUAGUUUGCGACCCGAAAGAUGGUGAACUAUGCUUGAGCAGGACGAAGCCAGAGGAAACUCUGGUGGAAGUCCGUAUCGGUUCUGACGUGCAAAUCGAUCGAUAGACUUGGGUAUAGGGGCGAAAGACUAAUCGAACCGUCUAGUAGCUGGUUCCCUCCGAA